CACCUAUUUCAUUAAUAGAGUAGAGGUUCCGCCCACUAUGCGAAGAUCUAUACGUUUGGGAAUGCACCUAACAGCUUAUUUAUGCAGCGCUGGAAUUGUUUAUAAAAUUCGCUAAAUUUCAGAAGAAAGAAUCAGAAACAAUGUUUGGGAUUGAUUUUAAAAAGGUUGUAUUUAUAUUUUAUAACAAAUUAAAAAACCAAUAAACUCUUGUACGUAUUAACCAAA